rnacentral:rRNA from 1 species
CUUGCUUCUCUUGAGAGCGGCGGACGGGUGAGUAAUGCCUAGGAAUCUGCCUGGUAGUGGGGGAUAACGUUCGGAAACGGACGCUAAUACCGCAUACGUCCUACGGGAGAAAGCAGGGGACCUUCGGGCCUUGCGCUAUCAGAUGAGCCUAGGUCGGAUUAGCUAGUUGGUGGGGUAAUGGCUCACCAAGGCGACGAUCCGUAACUGGUCUGAGAGGAUGAUCAGUCACACUGGAACUGAGACACGGUCCAGACUCCUACGGGAGGCAGCAGUGGGGAAUAUUGGACAAUGGGCGAAAGCCUGAUCCAGCCAUGCCGCGUGUGUGAAGAAGGUCUUCGGAUUGUAAAGCACUUUAAGUUGGGAGGAAGGGUUGUAGAUUAAUACUCUGCAAUUUUGACGUUACCGACAGAAUAAGCACCGGCUAACUCUGUGCCAGCAGCCGCGGUAAUACAGAGGGUGCAAGCGUUAAUCGGAAUUACUGGGCGUAAAGCGCGCGUAGGUGGUUUGUUAAGUUGGAUGUGAAAUCCCCGGGCUCAACCUGGGAACUGCAUUCAAAACUGACUGACUAGAGUAUGGUAGAGGGUGGUGGAAUUUCCUGUGUAGCGGUGAAAUGCGUAGAUAUAGGAAGGAACACCAGUGGCGAAGGCGACCACCUGGACUAAUACUGACACUGAGGUGCGAAAGCGUGGGGAGCAAACAGGAUUAGAUACCCUGGUAGUCCACGCCGUAAACGAUGUCAACUAGCCGUUGGAAGCCUUGAGCUUUUAGUGGCGCAGCUAACGCAUUAGUUGACCGCCUGGGGAGUACGGCCGCAGGUUAAACUC